rnacentral:rRNA from 1 species
AGUGAACGCUGGCGGUAGGCCUAACACAUGCAAGUCGAACGGCAGCACAGUAAGAGCUUGCUCUUACGGGUGGCGAGUGGCGGACGGGUGAGGAAUACAUCGGAAUCUACUUUUUCGUGGGGGAUAACGUAGGGAAACUUACGCUAAUACCGCAUACGACCUACGGGUGAAAGCAGGGGAUCUUCGGACCUUGCGCGAUUGAAUGAGCCGAUGUCGGAUUAGCUAGUUGGCGGGGUAAAGGCCCACCAAGGCGACGAUCCGUAGCUGGUCUGAGAGGGUGAUCAGCCACACUGGAACCGAGGCACGGUCCAGACCUCCAGGGGGAGCAGCAGUGGGGAAUUUUGGGCAAUUGGCGCAAGCCUGAUCCAGCCAUACCGCGUGGGUGAAGAAGGCCUUCGGGUUGUAAAGCCCUUUUGUUGGGAAAGAAAAGCAGCAGGUUAAUACCCCGCUGUUCUGACGGUACCCAAAGAAUAAGCACCGGCUAACUUCGUG